rnacentral:piRNA from 1 species
CACCAGGAAAAAAACCAUGACCUGCUGUU